CUUCAGGUUUAUUCUUUGUUACGGAUACAUAAUAAAACAUAAUAAAUUAUGUUACAGGAUAAUGGACAUUCAACAGCAGAUGGUAAUUGCUGGACUUCUGAUGGGAGAGUUACAUCGUUGUACAGAGCCAAGAGCUAAGCCAAGUGUGAGAGACCUCGUGUCCCUCUGUUACUAUAUAGAAGUGCUAAUACUAACAUCAGCAUUUACCUCUAGCCAUAUAAGGACAAGACCCCCGAAUCCACAUUCCAGAGCUCUCGGACAAAGAAAGCCUUGUGACUUAUUGAUACCAUCUGUUACUUAUGUCAAUCCACACCUCCAUAUAUAUAAUCAAUAGAAAUAUAGAAUAUGCAAUAUUCUACAGAUGGCGAACCUUUUUGAGCCCGAGUGCCCAAACCGUAAUACAUGCCAACUUUUUUUUCCUUAAAGUGCCAACACGGCAAUUAAACCUCAAUACUGAGGUUUAAGUUUAG